UCCUACGGGGCGCAGCAGUGGGGAAUAUUGCACAAUGGGGGAAACCCUGAUGCAGCGACGCCGCGUGAAGGAAGAAGUAUCUCGGUAUGUAAACUUCUAUCAGCAGGGAAGAAAACAGACGGUACCUGACUAAGAAGCCCCGGCUAACUACGUGCCAGCAGCCGCGGUAAUACGUAGGGGGCAAGCGUUAUCCGGAUUUACUGGGUGUAAAGGGUGCGUAGGCGGCUUGGCAAGUCAGUAGUGAAAUCCAUGGGCUUAACCCAUGAACUGCUAUUGAAACUGUCGAGCUUGAGUGAAGUAGAGGU
rnacentral:rRNA from 1 species